rnacentral:rRNA from 1 species
GUGCCAGCAGCCGCGGUAAUACGAAGGUGGCGAGCGUUGUUCGGAAUCACUGGGCUUAAAGGGCACGCAGGCGGACUGUAAAGCGUCUUGUGAAAGCCCCCGGCUUAACCGGGGAAUUGCUAGGCGAACUGGCAGUCUUGAGGCAGGUAAGGGCGAGUGGAACUCUUGGUGGAGCGGUGGAAUGCGUAGAUAUCAAGAGGAACGCCGGAGGCGAAAGCGACUCGCUGGGCCUGACCUGACGCUGAGGUGCGAAAGCCAGGGUAGCGAACGGGAUUAGAUACCCCGGUAGUCCUGGCCAUAAACGAUGUCCACUAGAUCGGUGAACUUCUGACAGUGCGCCGGUCGAAACAAAAGCGUUAAGUGGACCGCCUGGGGAGUACGGUCGCAAGGCUAAAACUCAAAGGAAUUGACGGGGGCUCACACAAGCGGUGGAGCAUGUUGCUUAAUUCGAUGCAACGCGAAGAACCUUAUCCUGGACUUGACAUGUUUGGAUGCCUCCCUGGAAACAGGGUUGGUUGCCCUUCGGGGUGAAACAUUCACAGGUGCUGCAUGGCUGUCGUCAGCUCGUGUCGUGAGAUGUUGGGUUAAGUCCCGUAACGAGCGAAACCCUUGUCGUUAGUUGCCAGCGCGUAAUGGCGGGGACUCUAGCGAGACUGCCGGUGUUAAACCGGAGGAAGGUGGGGAUGACGUCAAGUCCUCAUGGCCUUUAUGUCCAGGGCUGCAAACGUGCUACAAUGGCGUGUACAAACCGACGCAAGACCGCGAGGUGGAGCAAAUCGGAAAAAGCACGCCCCAGUUCGGAUUGGAGUCUGCAACUCGACUCCAUGAAGUCGGAAUCGCU